GGUGGCUCAAUGGUAGAGCGCUUGCCUUGCCUGCAUGAGGCCCUGAGUUUGAUUCCUCAGCACCA
rnacentral:tRNA from 1 species